rnacentral:rRNA from 1 species
GAUGAACGCUGGCGGCGUGCCUAAUACAUGCAAGUCGAGCGAAUGGAUUAAGAGCUUGCUCUUAUGAAGUUAGCGGCGGACGGGUGAGUAACACGUGGGUAACCUGCCCAUAAGACUGGGAUAACUCCGGGAAACCGGGGCUAAUACCGGAUAACAUUUUGAACCGCAUGGUUCGAAAUUGAAAGGCGGCUUCGGCUGUCACUUAUGGAUGGACCCGCGUCGCAUUAGCUAGUUGGUGAGGUAACGGCUCACCAAGGCAACGACGCGUAGCCGACCUGACAGGGGGAUGGGACACACUGGGACUGAGACACGGCCCAGACUCCUACGGGAUGCAGCAGUAGGGAAUCUUCCGCAAUGGACGAAAGUCUGACGGAGCAACGCCGCGUGAGUGAUGAAGGCUUUCGGGUCGUAAAACUCUGUUGUUAGGGAAGGACAAGUGCUAGUUGAAUAAGCUGGCACCUUGACGGUACCUAACCAGAAAGCCACGGCUAACUACGUGCCAGCCGCCGCUGUAA